GGUAUGUCCAGUCUUUUUUAGUAGUGACUUAGUCACAAACACUGGUCAAAAUUAGCAUUCAUAUUUUCAUUUUUUACACAACAACAAAUAUGAACGCUAACUUUGGCCAGUGUUUGUGGCUACUAAAAAAGACUGGACAGAGUGCC